rnacentral:rRNA from 1 species
GGUUAAGCGACUAAGCGUACACGGUGGAUGCCCUGGCAGUCAGAGGCGAUGAAGGACGUGCUAAUCUGCGAUAAGCGUCGGUAAGGUGAUAUGAACCGUUAUAACCGGCGAUUUCCGAAUGGGGAAACCCAGUGCAAUUCGUUGCACUAUCGUUAAGUGAAUACAUAGCUUAACGAAGCGAACCGGGGGAACUGAAACAUCUAAGUACCCCGAGGAAAAGAAAUCAACCGAGAUUCCCCCAGUAGCGGCGAGCGAACGGGGAGCAGCCCAGAGUCUGAAUCAGCAUGUGUGUUAGUGGAAGCGUCUGGAAAGUCGCACGAUACAGGGUGAAAGUCCCGUACACCAAAAUGCACAUGUUGUGAACUCGAAGAGUAGGGCGGGACACGUGGUAUCCUGUCUGAAUAUGGGGGGACCAUCCUCCAAGGCUAAAUACUCCUGACUGACCGAUAGUGAACCAGUACCGUGAGGGAAAGGCGAAAAGAACCCCGGCGAGGGGAGUGAAAAAGAACCUGAAACCGUGUACGUACAAGCAGUGGGAGCCUCUUUAUGGGGUGACUGCGUACCUUUUGUAUAAUGGGUCAGCGACUUAUAUUCUGUAGCAAGGUUAACCGAAUAGGGGAGCCGAAGGGAAACCGAGUCUUAACUGGGCGUUAAGUUGCAGGGUAUAGACCCGAAACCCGGUGAUCUAGCCAUGGGCAGGUUGAAGGUUGGGUAACACUAACUGGAGGACCGAACCGACUAAUGUUGAAAAAUUAGCGGAUGACCUGUGGCUGGGGGUGAAAGGCCAAUCAAACCGGGAGAUAGCUGGUUCUCCCCGAAAGCUAUUUAGGUAGCGCCUCGUGAAUUCAUCUUCGGGGGUAGAGCACUGUUUCGGCUAGGGGGUCAUCCCGACUUACCAACCCGAUGCAAACUACGAAUACCGAAGAAUGUUAUCACGGGAGACACACGGCGGGUGCUAACGUCCGUCGUGAAGAGGGAAACAACCCAGACCGCCAGCUAAGGUCCCAAAGUCACAGUUAAGUGGGAAACGAUGUGGGAAGGCUCAGACAGCCAGGAUGUUGGCUUAGAAGCAGCCAUCAUUUAAAGAAAGCGUAAUAGCUCACUGGUCGAGUCGGCCUGCGCGGAAGAUGUAACGGGGCUAAACUGUGCACCGAAGCUGCGGCAGCGACACUAUGUGUUGUUGGGUAGGGGAGCGUUCUGUAAGCCGUUGAAGGUGUGUCGUGAGGCAUGCUGGAGGUAUCAGAAGUGCGAAUGCUGACAUAAGUAACGAUAAAGCGGGUGAAAAACCCGCUCGCCGGAAGACCAAGGGUUCCUGUCCAACGUUAAUCGGGGCAGGGUGAGUCGACCCCUAAGGCGAGGCCGAAAGGCGUAGUCGAUGGGAAACAGGUUAAUAUUCCUGUACUUGGUGUUACUGCGAAGGGGGGACGGAGAAGGCUAUGUUGGCCGGGCGACGGUUGUCCCGGUUUAAGCGUGUAGGUUUGCAGACCAGGUAAAUCCGGUCUGCUUCAAGACUGAGACGUGAUGACGAGGCACUACGGUGCUGAAGUAACAAAUGCCCUGCUUCCAGGAAAAGCCUCUAAGCAUCAGGUAACACGAAAUCGUACCCCAAACCGACACAGGUGGUCAGGUAGAGAAUACCAAGGCGCUUGAGAGAACUCGGGUGAAGGAACUAGGCAAAAUGGUGCCGUAACUUCGGGAGAAGGCACGCUGAUACGUAGGUGAAGCGGUUUACCCGUGGAGCUGAAAUCAGUCGAAGAUACCAGCUGGCUGCAACUGUUUAUUAAAAACACAGCACUGUGCAAACACGAAAGUGGACGUAUACGGUGUGACGCCUGCCCGGUGCCGGAAGGUUAAUUGAUGGGGUUAGCGCAAGCGAAGCUCUUGAUCGAAGCCCCGGUAAACGGCGGCCGUAACUAUAACGGUCCUAAGGUAGCGAAAUUCCUUGUCGGGUAAGUUCCGACCUGCACGAAUGGCGUAAUGAUGGCCAGGCUGUCUCCACCCGAGACUCAGUGAAAUUGAACUCGCUGUGAAGAUGCAGUGUACCCGCGGCAAGACGGAAAGACCCCGUGAACCUUUACUAUAGCUUGACACUGAACAUUGAGCCUUGAUGUGUAGGAUAGGUGGGAGGCUUUGAAGUGUGGACGCCAGUCUGCAUGGAGCCAACCUUGAAAUACCACCCUUUAAUGUUUGAUGUUCUAACGUAGACCCGUAAUCCGGGUUGCGGACAGUGUCUGGUGGGUAGUUUGACUGGGGCGGUCUCCUCCCAAAGAGUAACGGAGGAGCACGAAGGUUAGCUAAUCCUGGUCGGACAUCAGGAGGUUAGUGCAA